GGUGAAAGUUUAGAGCCACAAGGUGCUUUUAUUCAUAAAUCCAGAAGUAGGUACAUAUGUGUGAUUGAUUUUAUGGAAUAUAUGCACAUGUUUUGUAAUGCAAUUGAUACAUUUCAGUUCAUCAUCAAUUUAUCAAUAUGACAUCUUUGGACAAAGUCACAAAGAUAUUAACAUAAUAUCUUAUAUAUUUGUAUUUUCUCUAUCCUCCUCUCAAGCAAAGGUUAACAUUUAUCAGUACAUGCAUGAUUCUUCAUUGCCUGUGUCUCCCACUAAUCUAUGAUAUACAUAUUUAUUAUGUCAUUUAUUACAUCUGUAGUUCUUGGAACAAUAUUAUUUAAUUUUUUAAAAUGUAAUUUAAAUGCAAAUUUCCUUAAGUUUAUCUUAACAUUGUAGAGAAUAACAGAGUAGACUUCUUAGAGCUAGAAUCUGACAGUUGCAUUCAGUCCCUUAGUAGUCUCAACAAUACCCACAUAACUUAUUUAACAUGAAAAAGUCAAGUUGUGCUUACAUGGGGCCCUCGCCGCUAUGUUCUAGUCUCUUUGUUGAGAGAAGGUACUCUUCCAUCUAGCAAAAGAUAAAGAUGGAUACCAACCUAGACACAAAACCCUUGAUUUACAAUCUGUCCUUCCUACAUAAUAUUUUAGGGCAAAGGUGGUAUAGGACUUGUGAAAGUAGACAACCAAUGUCUGAUUUGACCUAAGGCUCACUCCACUGAAAAGAAACCAUACUGAGCACUGUUUGGGUAGCAGUGAACCAAAGACUAGAAGAUAAUCUGGAGACCUAGGGU
rnacentral:lncRNA from 1 species